rnacentral:rRNA from 1 species
GCAGCACGAGAGAGCUUGCUCUCUUGGUGGCGAGUGGCGGACGGGUGAGUAAUGUAUCGGAACGUGCCCAGUAGCGGGGGAUAACUACUCGAAAGAGUGGCUAAUACCGCAUACGCCCUACGGGGGAAAGGGGGGGAUCGCAAGACCUCUCACUAUUGGAGCGGCCGAUAUCGGAUUAGCUAGUUGGUAGGGUAAAGGCCUACCAAGGCGACGAUCCGUAGCUGGUUUGAGAGGACGACCAGCCACACUGGGACUGAGACACGGCCCAGACUCCUACGGGAGGCAGCAGUGGGGAAUUUUGGACAAUGGGGGAAACCCUGAUCCAGCCAUCCCGCGUGUAUGAUGAAGGCCUUCGGGUUGUAAAGUACUUUUGGCAGAGAAGAAAAGGCGCUUCCUAAUACGAGGCGCCGCUUACGGUAUCUGCAGAAUAAGCACCGGCUAACUACGUGCCAGCAGCCGCGGUAAUACGUAGGGUGCAAGCGUUAAUCGGAAUUACUGGGCGUAAAGCGUGUGUAGGCGGUUCGGAAAGAAAGAUGUGAAAUCCCAGGGCUCAACCUUGGAACUGCAUUUUUAACUCCCGAACUAGAGUAUGUCAGAGGGGGGUAGAAUUCCACGUGUAGCAGUGAAAUGCGUAGAGAUGUGGAGGAAUACCGAUGGCGAAGGCAGCCCCCUGGGAUAAUACUGACGCUCAGACACGAAAGCGUGGGGAGCAAACAGGAUUAGAUACCCUGGUAGUCCACGCCCUAAACGAUGUCAACUAGCUGUUGGGGCCGUUAGGCCUUAGUAGCGCAGCUAACGCGUGAAGUUGACCGCCUGGGGGAGUACGGUCGCAAGAUUAAAACUCAAAGGAAUUGACGGGGACCCGCACAAGCGGUGGAUGAUGUGGAUUAAUUCGAUGCAACGCGAAAAACCUUACCCUACCCUUUGACAUGUCUGGAAAGCCGAAAAGAUUUGGCCGUGCUCGCAAGAGAACCGGAACACAGGUGCUGCAUGGCUGUCGUCAGCUCGUGUCCGGGAGAUGUUGGGGUUAAGUCCCCCCAACGAAGGGCAAC